UGUGUGCUUCUGCCUAUCCCUGA
rnacentral:piRNA from 1 species